rnacentral:rRNA from 1 species
CCUACGGGUGGCAGCAGUGAGGAAUAUUGGUCAAUGGACGUAAGUCUGAACCAGCCAAGUAGCGUGAAGGAUGACUGCCCUAUGGGUUGUAAACUUCUUUUAUCUGGGAAUAAAAUGUUCCACGUGUGGGCUUUUGUAUGUACCAUAUGAAUAAGGAUCGGCUAACUCCGUGCCAGCAGCCGCGGUAAUACGGAGGGUCCGAGCGUUGUCCGGAUUUAUUUGGUUUAAAGGGAGCGUAGGUCGAUUGGUAAGGCAGUCGUGAAAGUCCGCGGCUCAACCGUAGCACUGCCGUUGAAACUGGCAGUCUUGAGUGCGGGAGAGGUAGGCGGAAUUCGUGGUGUAGCGGUGAAAUGCUUAGAUAUCACGAAGAACUCCGAUUGCGAAGGCAGCAUACUGGACUGCAACUGACGCUGAGGCUCGAAAGUGUGGGUAUCAAACAGGAUUAGAUACCCGAGUAGUC